rnacentral:rRNA from 1 species
UACGUAGGGUCCGAGCGUUAAUCGGAAUUACUGGGCGUAAAGCGUGCGCAGGCGGUUUUGUAAGACCGAUGUGAAAUCCCCGGGCUUAACCUGGGAACUGCAUUGGUGACUGCAAGGCUUGAGUGUGUCAGAGGGAGGUGGAAUUCCGCGUGUAGCAGUGAAAUGCGUAGAUAUGCGGAGGAACACCGAUGGCGAAGGCAGCCUCCUGGGAUAACACUGACGCUCAUGCACGAAAGCGUGGG